rnacentral:rRNA from 1 species
GAUGAACGCUGGCGGCGUGCCUAAUACAUGCAAGUCGAGCGAACAGACGAGGAGCUUGCUCCUCUGACGUUAGCGGCGGACGGGUGAGUAACACGUGGAUAACCUGCCUAUAAGACUGGGAUAACUUCGGGAAACCGGAGCUAAUACCGGAUAAUAUAUUGAACCGCAUGGUUCAAUAGUGAAAGACGGUUUUGCUGUCACUUAUAGAUGGAUCCGCGCCGCAUUAGCUAGUUGGUAAGGUAACGGCUUACCAAGGCGACGAUGCGUAGCCGACCUGAGAGGGUGAACGGCCACACUGGAACUGAGACACGGUCCAGACCCCUACGGGAGGCAGCAGUGGGGAAUCUUCCGCAAUGGGCGAAAGCCUGAGGGGGAAACGCCGCGGGGGUGAUGAAGGUCUUCGGGUCGUAAAACUCUGUUAUUAGGGAAAAACAAAUGUGUAAGUAACUAUGCACGUUUUGACGGUACCUAAUCAGAAAGCCACGGCUAACUACGU